rnacentral:rRNA from 1 species
AAUCAACGCUGGCGGCGUGCCUAACACAUGCAAGUCGCACGAGAAAGGGACUUCGGUCCUGAGUACAGUGGCGCACGGGUGAGUAACACGUGAAUAAUCUACCUUCGAGUGGGGAAUAACUGAGAGAAAUCUUAGCUAAUACCGCAUAAUACCUACGGGUCAAAGCAGCAAUGCGCUUGAAGAGGAGUUCGCGGCAGAUUAGUUAGUUGGCAGGGUAAUGGCCACCAAGACGAUGAUCUGUAUCCGGCCUGAGAGGGCGCACGGACACACUGGAACUGAAACACGGUCCAGACUCCUACGGGAGGCAGCAGUGGGGAAUUUUGCGCAAGUGGGGGAAACCCUGACGCAGCAACGCCGCGUGGA